ACCUACUAGAUUCAGGCCGACGUCCCGAUGC
rnacentral:rRNA from 1 species